GAUGAACGCUGGCGGCGUGCCUAAUACAUGCAAGUCGAGCGAACGGACGAGAAGCUUGCUUCUCUGAUGUUAGCGGCGGACGGGUGAGUAACACGUGGAUAACCUACCUAUAAGACUGGGAUAACUUCGGGAAACCGGAGCUAAUACCGGAUAAUAUUUUGAACCGCAUGGUUCAAAAGUGAAAGACGGUCUUGCUGUCACUUAUAGAUGGAUCCGCGCUGCAUUAGCUAGUUGGUAAGGUAACGGCUUACCAAGGCAACGAUGCAUAGCCGACCUGAGAGGGUGAUCGGCCCCCCUGGACCUGAGACCCGGUCCAGCCUCCUACGGGAGGCAGCAGUAGGAAAUCUUCCGCAAUGGGCGAAAGCCUGACGGAGCAACGCCGCGUGAGUGAUGAAGGUCUUCGGAUCGUAAAACUCUGUUAUUAGGGAAGAACAUAUGUGUAAGUAACUGUGCACAUCUUGACGGUACCUAUCAGAAAGCCACGGCUAACUACGUG
rnacentral:rRNA from 1 species